rnacentral:rRNA from 1 species
GACGGAGGAUGCAAGUGUUAUCCGGAAUCACUGGGCGUAAGGCGUCUGUAGGUGGUCAAAUAAGUCAACUGUUAAAUCUUGAGGCUCAACCUCAAAAUCGCAGUCGAAACUAUUAGACUAGAGUAUAGUAGGGGUAAAGGGGAUUUCCAGUGGAGCGGUGAAAUGCGUAGAGAUUGGAAAGAACACCGAUGGCGAAGGCACUUUACUGGGCUAUUACUAACACUCAGAGACGAAAGCUAGGGUAGCAAAUGGG